CAGCAGCCGCGGUAAAACGUAGGUGGCAAGCGUUGUCCGGAAUUAUUGGGCGUAAAGGGCUCGCAGGCGGUUUCUUAAGUCUGAUGUGAAAGCCCCCGGCUCAACCUGGGAGGGUCAUUGGAAACUGGGAAACUUGAGUGCAGAAGAGGGGAGUGGAAUUCCACGUGUAGCGGUGAAAUGCGUAGAGAUGUGGAGGAACACCAGUGGCGAAGGCGACUCUCUGGUCUGUAACUGACGCUGAGGAGCGAAAGCGUGGGGAGCGAACAGGAUUAGAUACCCCCGUAGUCCCUGUCUCUUAUAC
rnacentral:rRNA from 1 species